rnacentral:lncRNA from 1 species
UGUUUGCUUGUAUGUUGUCUACUGCAUUAGAUUAUAAGCUCCUUGAGGGCAAGGAUUGUCUCUUGCUUCUUUUGUAUCCCCAACACUUAGCACAGUGCCUGGCACAUAGAUGGUGUUUACUAAAGUUUACUAAAACUAGAGUUUACUAAAUAGAUGGUGUUUCAAGUCGUGGCAUAUGAUUGUGAUGGAAUACUACUAUGAUGUAAGAAAAAAUGAAUGGGUUAAUUUUUUAUGGAAAGACCUCCAUAAAAUGAUGAAGAGGAACAUGAACAGAACCCAGAGAACAUUAUCUAAGGCAACAGAAAUAUUGAUUGAAAAAUAAUGUAUAUAUGUUCACUUCCAGAGAACUGAUAACUAAAAACAACUCCUCUAGGAUGCACAAGGUACCAUCAUCUAGAGCUCAGUUUCCAGAUUGGGGAGAGACAUCUUUGCUGCCAUCAAGGGACCAAAGAACCAAUGAAGGGUCUGAUUCAUCACCCCAAGCAAGGACAGAGGCUUGCCAGAAGCAAUCAGGGUUCCUAAGUUGCAAGCUCCAUGGAAUUGACUGCAAUCCAACAAUUAUUGCAUAUAUACAUUUUCAUGUAAUUUUCUGGAUACAUUUUGUCUCCCCCUAAUAGAAUGUAAACCCCUUAAGUAGAACUAUUUUAUUUGUUUCUACCAUGCCUACUGUAUAUGAGUUGAUCCAUAAAAAAAUGUUUGUUGGAUGGUUAAAUGGAAAGGUAUCCAUGUCACAGUGCAGUUCUUCC